GUACAAAAUAUAGAGGUCCUGGCUGUGGCCUACAUUGUCUGAUUUUUGAAGAAGUCAUUUAAUCACUACCGUUAUUUCGCAAUGGAGCUAACAUUGGCACUUGGAGCAGGAUAAUUCAUCUUUGUUGAGUCUGCCUGAAAAUCUGCAGGAUAUUUAUCAUCUCUUGCUCCUGAUAUCAAAGUGCUCUGUUCCUGUCACCAUUGAGGAUGCUGCCCUUUCUUGGAAAACAAAAAUGACGAGCACAAUAAAUUUAAAAACCAUGUUUCAGAAAACUUGACACAAAUAUGAAUCUGAAAUAUAAUUUAUUAACAGAAAGCAAAGCAUACAAUCUGGUACACCUGAACAUCCAGACUUCUCUGACUGAGAGACGGACACAUGGGAUAAGUCUACCAUUUCUUAGGGAGCGUGACUGAAAGGAUUGUGACUGUUUUCUUCUCGAUGACAUGGGGAGAUCAUGCCAGUGUCCCUCCCUGGGCCCGCAGGAGAACUAAUUAAUGCAGUCUACAGCAGGAUGCAACACUUCCAAAAACGCCAUAGAGUUCUUCAUUCAGUUUGAACUGGCAAGCUUAGAAGCAUAGUAAACAAAGAUACUGCUGAAAAUAUGAAUUAUCCAGGAAAGCAUCUUGCAGAGAGCUUUAUUUCUAAGCUUCACGUGAACAUCUGCAGUUUUCAAGGUGAAAAUGAUUCCUCAUGGGUUGGUUUUAACAAAAAGCUGGGGAGUGCAAAGUGAAGGGGAUUAAGGCAGACAAUGUGACCACACACCAAUUUCCUCCCUUACAAACCUUUUAUAUCACUUAUCAGAAUUUUAAUUCCAUCUGCUAAGUAAUACAGGUCCCCAGAGCAGAGGUUACACACGCAGCCACAGGUUAGAGUCUUCGGCUGCUUUUUCAUUACAUUGUGCACCGCAAUUUCUCUGGGCCUCCUUAGUGAUGGAGCGAGGGAUGUUUGAGUUAGAUGGUUAAUUCUUUUAUUUAUUUUUUCAACAGGAACAGAAACCAUGGAUUUUAAAGACCAUUUGCCCAUUGCUGAAUAAGGACAGCCCUAGGAUACUUACCAUCAAAUAUUCUCAAGCUAUCGAUUAACAUUUUUAGAACAGUCACUGGUCCUUUCUGCUACACUAUUUUAGAAUGAUUUAAAUAUGAUUCUUGGAAAGGAGAAGAUCUUUCCUUAACAAAGCUGGAGUACUCAUUGGCAGGCAGCAGAGAUGGGCUGUGUUAAUGUCAAUUUCUUUACUUUUUAUAAAUGCCACCUGUGUUACCAGCAUUGAUUUGAUGGUGAUGUAAUUUUCUUGCAAAUCCAUUAGUUUUAUAGGUUUUUGGCAAGCCUCACUGUUGUGUUGAUUAGAUAUAGUAACUGUAUCUAUUUAAACAGGGUUUUAAAUGCUUGGCUCAAUUCUCUGUGUUGGCUGGAUAACAAGACAUACAGUAGAUGCUUUAACUUCAGAUUGUGCUAACCAGUGAUUUGACACAUAGCUUAGCGUUUGGCCAUUUGUGAUACUCAGCACUUUAAUUGUGAAGUUAAUUGCAGGUAUUUGUAAGAUAUACCUUGAGGUAAUCCUGACAAAUAAGAUACAGACUCUCCAUCCUCUCUAGGUGGUUUUAUUCUAUCAGUAUUUCUCAAAGCAUAGCCCUCAGAUAAGCAAUAUCAGCAUCGUCCAGGACCCUGUUAGAAACGCAAACUCUUGGGCCCACCCCAGACCGACUGAAUCAGAAACUCUGGGAGUGGGGCCC
rnacentral:lncRNA from 1 species